GCCAGCAUGGUGUAGCGGUUUGAAUGUUAGACUACAGCUCUGGAGAUCAGGGUUCGAUUGCCCCGCUCCAGCA